GGGUCGGCGAGCGGCGAACGGCUGAGUAACACGUUGGAACCUGCCCCAAAGUGAGGGAUAACUACGAGAAAUCGUAGCUAAUACCGCAUAUGCCAGAAAUGGUAAAGCUUCGGCGCUUUGGGAGGGGCCUGCGACGUAUCAGGUAGUUGGUGAGGUAAUGGCUCACCAAGCCUCUGACGCGUAGCUGGUGUGAGAGCACGACCAGCCAGAAUGGGACUGAGACACGGCCCAUACUCCUACGGGAGGCAGCAGUGAGGAAUCUUCCGCAAUGGACGAAAGUCUGACGGAGCCAUACCGCGUGUAGGAUGACACCUUUCGGGGCGUAAACUACUUUUCUGAAGGGAAGACAUUCUGACGGUACUUCAGGGAAUAAGCGUCGGCUAACUACGUGCCAGCAGCCGCGGUAAUACGUAGGACGCAAGCGUUAUUCGGAAUCACUGGGCGUAAAGCGAUCGAAGGCGGAUUAAUAAGUCAGGUGUUAAAUACCCACGGCUCAACCGGGGUGCUGCAUUUGAAACUGUUAGUCUAGAGAAAAGCAGAGGUAGCUGGAAUUCCUAUUGUAGGGGUUAAAUCCGUAGAUAAUAGGAGGAACACCAAAAGCGAAGGCAGGCUACUGGGCUUUUUCUGACGCUGCUCGAUCGAAAGCGUGGGGAGCGAAACGGAUUAGAUACCCGUGUAGUCCACGCCGUAAACGAUGGAUACUCGACGUUCGCGAAUCAAUCUUUGUGUGUGUCUAAGCUAACGCGUUAAGUAUCCCGCCUGAGGAGUACGGCCGCAAGGUUAAAACUCAAAGGAAUAGACGGGGAUCCACACAAGCGGUGGAGCAUGUGGUUUAAUUCGAUAGUGCGCGGGGAACCUUACCAGGCCUUGACAUCUUCGGAAUUUUCUAGAAAUAGAAAAGUGCCUUCGGAAUCGCAUACAGGUGUUGCAUGUUUGUU
rnacentral:rRNA from 1 species